UCUGCUGUUUCUUUCUUUCUUUUUUUUAAAUAGACCAACAGUGAGCUGAAAAGGCCAGAUAAAGCCUAAAGGAUACCCAUACUGUGAGUGCCCUUUUGAGAAGCUGGGUUACACACUUACGAGAGAUGACAAAUAUAGUUCAUAAUAUUGGGAUUUAUUUAUUUUAAGUGGCUUCAUUGUCUUCAGCAUAGCAACUCCCUUAAAAAUGGUUUCUUUGAAAAAUCUAGCAUCAUUAAAUGGAAGUGUUGAUCUUCUGUGUUUUGAAGGAACUAAACAGUUCUGUCAUUGGAACAGAUACAAACACAGCAGUGAAAGUGAUCAUUAAACAAUCUAUUUAAUCACCGCACUGUUCUUGUUCUCUGCUGAUUUGUAUAAAAAGCAACAACCAAAAAUAAUUUUGUUCAUCCUCCUCAACAACUCUGUGGAGCAAGAAAUCAUUUUCCAGGUGGUAGAUCUAAAGGAAGCGGCAAUUGAGAAACUGUUGUUUGCCUAUCUGUGCGUCAGUAUUCUGAGCUGAAAGGUCAAAGGCUCUCCAUGAUGAUGCAGCCUUAGAUGCAGGGACACGCUGCAAAUGUGAAUGAUUCUGUUAGGCUAUAUAUGGCUGUUUCCCAUUAAGUACAAGAUAAGGCAUGGCCGUUUUGACAAUACAAAGAAUACAUUACCCCCCCCCCAAAAAAAAACUAGGCACAAAAUAGCCAAAGGAAUAAAUAUAUACCUCUUUCAAAGCUGUGGUCCCUGUGAUCAUGAUUCCCAGUGUGGGGGUUAGGAUGAGUGAAGUCCUGUGCAUGGGUUGCCCGUCUACCAGUAGGAAGCACCAGCAGCAAUAUAGCAUGAGGGGCUACAGGUAGGGAUGUUGGAGAAUUUCAUUGAUGGAUAAAACAGGAACAUAAAUUGCCGGCGUUCACCUAUUGUUCCCCUGUCCAUAAUGUAAAUCAGCCCAGUGAAUAUGAUCGGUAUAUGAUUGUUGCUUUCAAUCCACGAACGACCCAUACACAAAAGCAUUGUGUUCAUUUGCAAUGAAAUUAAUGUGGAUGACUGCAUACAAGACUUAAUAUCUGUAUAUGUAUUUGUCUUGGAAGACAACACUUUGUGUUUGGUAAUUGUUUUUAAAAUUUUCAAUAAAGUUUGUAGAAAAAAAUGAAUGUGGUGGAAUAACAUAAUGACAACAUAAUGUACACAAAGUGAGAUGACAGUUUUUGGCAGAAUACAAACUGCAGCAGAAGAGAAACAUUGCUGCAUGUAACAAAUAGAGUUUGAAACAGAAAAGAAUUCCUUCUUACAUCCCUAACGAUGGUAGUUUUUCUCACAGCCUGUUCAAUAGAAGAGAUGGGGGGAUGAAGCAACACUGUUGGGCUCCCUUCAUAAACCAUUUCUGUAGCCAAUAGUGUAGGAUACUCACUUCAAAACAACAACAACCAUUAUUCCCGUUUACAGCCAUUUGUUAGAAAUUGGUGAGGCAUUUGACCAGACUCCACCCUGCUACUAUUUGGGGAAAAUGCUAUAUAUUGGAUGGAAUAUUUCUUGAUUCAGGCUUUUCUCCAGCAACAGCUUUCUUCUUAUUUGAAUAGGUGGGACUACCUGCCAGAAUGUAGGUGUGUGUUGUAUGUUAAAUCCAAACACACACGCACAAUGUAAGGUAAAUCAAUUUGAUUGAGAUUUGUAAUUUACUCUUCACUGCAACUUUACAAAGCAUGCAAAGUUCCAGGUUCCUACCCUGUACAGAUUUUACAGCUGAUUUCUCUCUCUUUUGUCCUCUUCUACUCUGUUGUUCCCCUUGCUCUAGGCUGCUGAAGAAUACCACUGUGAAGAACAGACAGAUGUAUUUUAUUUAUUUAAGGCAUUUAUAUAUUGCUUAAUCAUAAAUGUGUCUAAAGAGACUGUUCCUUAAGGGUAGCUUGGAUAAUAAUUUUCUGGUGUCUUUGCAUUGAAUAUGUAAAGAAAGCACCCAGAAAGAGAGUUAUCACAUUUCAGGGUUAUUUUAAUAAUUCUAAAAUAAUUCCAUAGUCCUAAAAUCUGUACUGAAGGAGCACCGAGGAUUGCUUUCAUUAUGGUGUAUAGUACUUUGGUUCUACAAGUUUAUAUUUUUUACAAUGUUGUACAAACAUUAUUUUAUGUAGAUCAGUUAACACAUGGCAAAUCACUACUAAAAUUGAGUGAGUCUGUGAACUGCAUACCUGUGUGUUCAUCAACAGUGACUGGUGUCAUCAGUUUAUGUAUAGCAUGGGCAGUAACAUUACCUACAAUACUGGAGAAUUCCUAUUUUUGCUAACUUGGCAUUUUAACAAUAUUUCCCCUCCCAUUUUCAGGCCAUUUCAAAUGAAAUGCGCAAGAGUAACUUUCUGAGGUAUGUGUGAUUGAGAAAGACAGAGGGAUGUGUAGAUAUAAUACUUGUGGGUAUAAUACAAGACUUGAUAUUUUUCAUAGUUCAUAAAAAUAGUGAAGAGACACCAAUAAUAGGUUCAAUCUAAUGAAGUCAUUGUGCAAGUAGAAUGACUUCUGCAAAUGCAGUGGAACUUCCCCUUUCCUCCCUGCCAUGUGUCCCCCACACCCUGUCAAAUCUGCUCCCAAUGGUUGGGGAGACCCUCCCAGAGCAGUUGUGGAAGAGGAAGACGUGGAGAGAGGAGAGAGAGGGGGGAGUUCCAUUACAUGAGUGGAAACUCAACUGUUCAUGCAAUGACUUUGUGGAGUACAAGUCAAUGCUCAGUGAGUCACAGCCAGCUAGACUUCCCAAACAACCCUUCCUUAUGAUGAACAAUAUUAGAGAGGUGUGAUGUAUGGAGGCUGCUGCUUGCUCCUGAAAGAAGUGGUGAAAUCAAAUAGUUGCAGAAAUAGAUCUUCCAGUUCAGGACAGAGGACUUUGUUACUGGUUUAGCUUAGAACAUCAUCUGCCGUCCUGCAUCUUAGUAGGUGAGAGAUUGGCUACUAGCAUGUAGGAAGCUGAUCUCCUAAUUUUGCAGUUUUAUGAUGUAGAGUGGGAUUGACUUUUAUGUCAGGAUAACAUUUACAUGAAUAAUUUGUAAAUUUGUAAGGUAAGUGGUGGAUUCUUACCUUUUCAUGGGAUAGGGCGAGUAGGAGUUGCAAACACAGAAAUAGCAAUUAGAUAACUAGCUUUUGGGAACUUUAAGCUAUGCAUGGGCGGAACUAAGUUUAGAGAGUGUAUGUGCAAUUUAUCCAUGAAAGUUCUUUCCAAUUUACAAAGGCUGAGUGGGAAAUCAGAGAUGGGAAUGUUCAUUUGAAGGGAAGAAACAAACCAAUAUAACAUUUUCCUUUUUUUAGUAUUGGUACUAAAUAAGGAUUUUAACAGCCCUAGAAAAAUUAUCUACUUUCUUUAGAGAUCUUUUGUUUGUGGCUUAUAAGGGGUAUUUUUUAAAUGAACUUACUAGUUGAGUUGGAAUGAUUAAUUGCUUAAUGAGGUAAUCAGUUUAAAACAUGUAAUAGAUUAAAAUGAUUAAAAUGGUACUUUUCAAAGUACUGUAACACAAAUGAUUUUAAAAACUGCAGAUGGCAAGAACCAUCUUAAAAUAAGCAUUCCUACCCCUUUCCUCAUAGCAAACCUCCCUUAAGAAAAUGAUUGUUAUGACCCCCCGCCUACAUACAUAGUUUCACUCAGAGUAGAGCCACUGAAAUUAAUGAACAUGACUAAUUUCAAUGGGUCUUUUCCUAGUAAAACUUAAUUGAAUGCCACCCAAUGUAUCUAAAUACUGUAGGUAUGGAAGUUUUUCUAAAAGCACAGAUAUUACCGUAAUGUCCAAGGCUAUUGCAAUGGUGGGUCUGGGAUUGUGUUUUAAUAUUGUCCCCUUAAACUACUGCUAGGUGCCUUGGCUCAGAUCACAUAUGCUGCUACUUAAGCUCAGUAGCUCAUAGGAUCACACAAUAGUAAUCUAUGGUAGAUUAUAGCAGCUUUUGUUCUUAUCAGUUUUCAGUAUAAAAAGAUGGAAACUACUUGAAAUAGAGAAGCUAUACUUGCAAAAGAACAAAAUAAUUGAAGAGAUUGCGUUGGCUGCUACUGUCAAGUAUUAUUUUCUUCUUAAGAAAACCCUGAAUAAACACACUUUCCAUAUUAUAUUCAGAACAGUCCUAACAAGAUUGAUGGCAGUGAACUAUGCAGGAAUUGUUGGUGCAAAAUGGUUCUAUGGUGGGUGAUCAUGGCAAUGGAAACCAAACGCUGCUUUUUUUAACUUUAUGAGUACAUCUAAAGAGAAUUGUGUUUUUCUAAGGAUUUUACCAUGUGGAAAUAAUGUCAUCAAAGUUCUAAUUUCAGACCUGUACAGUGAUUGAUUGCAAGCCUUAAAGUGCUAUUUUAUUGUAACCACACACACAAAAAGUGUUCUUUGUGAUAAAUGGUUGACUGAAUAUCGCUUGCUUAGGUUUUAAAAUGAGGCAUUGCCUCUGAAGUUAUUUGUUAAUAUGGGAUUUCAGCUUAGACUAAUGUUCAGAAUAGCUACUGAUAUACUGGAUAGGAGGAUGGACAGAUUUUGCAGCCCCUAGGAAAUAGAGGUUGGGCCUUUUAAGUAAAUUGGGCAAUCCUUUUUAUAUUUAUGGUGAUUGCUUUUCGCUUUACAUUCAUAUUGACUGUUGCUCCUACAGCCAGACUCAACAGUCUGUUUUCGCUCUCUUGGUUAGCACUCGCAGUAUCCCAUGGGUUUUUGGAAGAUUCUCACUGUGUGAGGAAACCUUGUAAUGGGUCAACCAGCGCUAAGACCAAAAAACAGCAGGAGUCAAGAUAACUUCAACAGUUUCAUUUAUGUGUAAACAACAUGUCAACAGCUCAGCAUAGCAGCUAGGGCUUGCUACACAGGCAAGACUUAAGGUUCUAGCUAGUUCCCACUGAGUUCUAAAGGGAACCACCCCCCACCCCCCCAGGAAGGGAAGUUAGAAUUACAGAUCAGGCUCUCUCUUAGAGAAACAUUGAUUCUCCCUUGGAGAAUGACCAACUUGCGGCUUCAGGUCAGUUUCAGGUACAAAGAAUCAGUGUCAAAGUAACUUUGAUUUUUUUCCCCUUGGUGUCAGAUGAGAUUUCAAGUUAAAUCCCCCUCAGUCUUUCCUGUAAAUCAGUGAAACCCAUUCCUGGCCUUCUGCUAGUAGUUAAAGUAUCUGUUGCAGAGAAAAGGGGGCUGAAAUAUUAGCACCUUUCCCCUCAUACUUUUCCUAUCUGUUUCAGAGGAUAUCUUCCAGCCACAGUGAUAUAGUCUCUUUGCCAGCACAUUAACUCACCUUGUUCCUUCAGCUUUGCUGCCAUUGGCAGCUCUUUUGGAUACUUCUUCACUGAGUUCAUGAAUAUAAAUGCAUAAUUCCUUGGGGGCAAUUGAUUCUAUUAAUAUAAAACAUAUGUACAGCCACCGCUGCUAAUGGGAUUUUGCUCCAUUUUAUAAACAGUAUUGGAUUUAAUUUGCUGGAGGUAAAUAGAAAUGGCAGAAGGAAAAGAUACCAAUAAUAAGAAUCUAAAAAUGAAUGUUAGCAAAGUAAACUAAGCUUAUUAUAGCUGCUGCUGUUAUAAUUUGGUAGUCUAAGGACCUCAGUGAUGAUUACUGUCCAGUCUGCCGGCCACUUUAAAAACACAAAAGACCAUCUCUUCCUGCCACAGCAAUAUCCUGGGUUCCUUCUAGAGUUCUCAUAUUCAAAUAACAUAACUGUGUAUUUCUAUGUGUUACUGUAUGGGGAAGUUAUGUGAUCUUUGUGAAUUCAGGGGUCUGGUUCCGAUGAUGAUGAUGAAGAAGAAGAAUUGAAUUUAUAUACUGUUUUAUACCCAGAGGUCUCAGCAGUUCACAG